CCUCUGCCUCUCUGCCCCCUUUCGCCUUCCCGUCCUCCGCCCUGCUGCUCCUCGAGCGGCUGCAGUCCCUCCCGCUGCUUCUCCUCUUUCUUAUCGGCUCCAGGCGCCUGGAGCGAGCGAGAGAGAAGGCGGCAAUGCGAAAGAAAGCUGGAGGGAGGGCUGAGAGGGGGCAGAGAGACGGCGGAAAAUGGAGCGUAGCCCAGAAGAGGGGCUGGACACUCAGAUGACCUAGCAGGAACUGAGAAAACUUGAGAGAAGACGGGAGGUAGCCGUCCGCACUCCUGAUUUUUCCUGCAUCUGCUAUGGACUGAACUCACAGUAAGCUUGCUGCAAUGAACGGCAUGUCCCCGGGAAUUGCCAACUUCCCAAGCUUGUUACCAUAUUUUGGCAUCUUUGUUACAUAUGUAUUUCCUAUGGCUGUCAGAAGAGAGAAGGGUAAAUUAUCUGUAUUAGUGUCAAAACUAGUUUUUCAUAAAACCCGGCAUUAUAUAUCUCAAUGUCUGUUUCCGGGAAAAAUUAUUUUUAUUUUCUGGAUGUUUGUCACAUACCUUGAUUAGGCAUAAUACAUAUCAGUUUAUGGACAGGUUUGCAGUACCCACACUUCAUCAGGAUUAGUUUUGAUCUUCGAAGGCAUGUUUCAGGCUCUAAGCGACGAUUCAAAAGAUUUUGCAUUCAUCAGAAUUUGGGAUUUCUUAUAAAAAUACCAUGACCAAUGAAGAUUUCAAGUAGUUUGAAUUCUUAAAAAAAUCACGGGACUAAUUAAGCCAUGACUUGGUGCGUUUUUUGUCAAAGGGGAUAGAUAAGAAAAACCUUGUUAAUUAUUUCAAAGUCACAUUUUAUCGUACAUAAAAACGCAUUUGCCCUUUUGAACCAAGGAAGGGCCAAGAAGUUGCCAAAAAAUUGUGUUCACACAGCCCCCUCGUGGUCAAAACCUUCAGAGCCUCAAAACCACCUCUGCUCGCGCGAAGGAGGGAAGGGUCAAAGCAGGCUGAUGCAAAUUAAAAACAAAAGUGCUGCAACCUUGGCUCGCAAAAGGCAUGGUCACCUGCUAGAAUAAAUAUUUGCCAUGCCCAUCACAAGGCUAAUCUUCUCUGUGCAGUUUUCCCGAAGUGAGUCAAAGAUUAUAAAUGGUUACAGCUUUAUGAAAGUAUUAGAGUAGAUAGAUGGCCAUUCAACUAAAUUUAAAACUGGAUUUCCUUACUACUUUGAAUGAUUUUUUUUUAAACUGGGGCUAGGCAUUUGAAGAAUAUAUUUCUAUAUGCACUAAAUUAGUAGUUUACAUUGAUAAUAGCUUAUAUCAAUAAAAAAUUGUAUCUAAGCUCUGAUCUGAUCAUUUCAAAGAACCUCUAAGUGUAGCACAAUCAUUAAUAGCUUCCAGUUACAUUAUUUUUAAAGACUCUAAGUAAUUUUAUAUGGAAACUAAUAAAGCUUCAUGGAGUUA